CCGGGUAGAUCUCCCACCCACUGCUAUCACUACUCUCGUUGCUUUGGCGGGCCGCUGGGCCCUGCCCGGCCGCCGGCCCCGGCUGGCGCGUGCCCGCCAGAGACCUCACAGACUCUGAAUGUUAGUGUCGUCCGAGUAACUAUACAAUCGUUAAAACUUUCAACAACGGAUCUCUUGGUUCUGGCAUCGAUGAAGAACGCAGCGAAAUGCGAUAAGUAAUGCGAAUUGCAGAAUUCAGUGAGUCAUCGAAUCUUUGAACGCACAUUGCGCCCUGUGGUAUUCCGCAGGGCAUGCCUGUUCGAGCGUCAUUUCAACCCUCAAGCCUCGCUUGGUGUUGGGCCCUGCCCGCCGCGGCCGGCCCUAAAGAUAGUGGCGGCGCCGCCUGGCCCUCAGCGUAGUACAGCUCUCGCUCCAGGGUCCGGCGGCAGCCUGCCAGAACCCCCCAACUCUG
rnacentral:rRNA from 1 species